rnacentral:misc_RNA from 1 species
GAUGAAGAACGCAGCGAAAUGCGAUAAGUAAUGUGAAUUGCAGAAUUCAGUGAAUCAUCGAAUCUUUGAACGCACAUUGCGCCCGCCAGUAUUCUGGCGGGCAUGCCUGUCUGAGCGUCAUUUCAACCCUCAAGCAACUUCUGCUUGGUGUUGGGGAUCGGCCGUUAAACGCCGCCCCCGAAAUCUAUUGGCGAUCUCGCUGUGGCUUCCUAUGCGUAGUAGUAACAUCUCGCAUCUGGAGAGCGGCGCGGUCAUGCCGUAAAACACCCAACUUCUCAGGUUGACCUCAGAUCAGGUAGGAAUACCCGCUGAACUUAAGCAUAUCAAUAAGCGGAGGA